AUAAUACUCCCUUCGUCCGAAAAAAACUUGUCUCUUAAGUAGAUGUAUUUAAUACUAACUUGGUGCUAGAUACAUCUAUUUAAGAAACAAAUUUGGGACAAAUUUUUUCGGACGGAGAGAGUAUUAU
rfam:Triticum aestivum genome assembly, contig: Triticum_aestivum_CS42_TGACv1_scaffold_542785_6DS